AAUUCGAUUGAGUUUGAUCAUGGCUCAGGACGAACGCUGGCGGCGUGCUUAACACAUGCAAGUCGAGCGAGGUCCAUCCAGUGGCAACACUGGGGAAGACCUAGCGGCGAACGGGUGAGUAACACGUGAGCAACCUGCCCCGAAGACUGGGAUAACACCGGGAAACCGGUGCUAAUACCGGAUGUCCUCCUCUGGUCGCAUGGCCUAGGGAGGAAACGAAUUUUGCUCCUGGAGGGGCUCGCGGGCUAUCAGCUUGUUGGUGGGGUAACGGCUCACCAAGGCGACGACGGCUAGCUGGUCUGAGAGGACGACCAGCCACACUGGGACUGAGACACGGCCCAGACUCCUACGGGAGGCAGCAGUGGGGAAUCUUGCGCAAUGGGCGAAAGCCUGACGCAGCAACGCCGCGUGGGGGAUGAAGGCCUUCGGGUUGUAAACCCCUUUCAGCAGGGACGAAUCUGACGGUACCUGCAGAAGAAGCCCCGGCCAACUACGUGCCAGCAGCCGCGGUAAUACGUAGGGGGCGAGCGUUGUCCGGAUUUAUUGGGCGUAAAGAGCUCGUAGGCGGCUUGGCAAGUCGGGUGUGAAACCUCCAGGCUCAACCUGGAGACGCCACUCGAUACUGCUAUGGCUAGAGUCCGGUAGGGGACCACGGAAUUCCUGGUGUAGCGGUGAAAUGCGCAGAUAUCANGAGGAACACCGGUGGCGAAGGCGGUGGUCUGGGCCGGCACUGACGCUGAGGAGCGAAAGCGUGGUAGCAAACAGGAUUAGAUACCCUGGUAGUCCACGCCGUAAACGUUGGGC
rnacentral:rRNA from 1 species